rnacentral:tRNA from 1 species
AGAGAUGUAGCUCAAUCGGUAGAGUACAUACUUUACAUGUAUGAGGCUCUGGCUCCAGCAUCUCUA